CCUACGGGCGGCAGCAGUGGGGAAUAUUACACAAUGGGGGAAACCCUGAUGCAGCGACGCCGCGUGAGUGAAGAAGUAUUUCGGUACGUAAAGCUCUAUCAGCAGGGAAGAAAAUGACGGUACCUGACUAAGAAGCCCCGGCUAACUACGUGCCAGCAGCCGCGGUAAUACGUAGGGGGCAAGCGUUAUCCGGAUUUACUGGGUGUAAAGGGAGCGUAGACGGCAGCGCAAGUCUGGAGUGAAAUCCCAUGGCUUAACCAUGGAACUGCUUUGGAAACUGUGCAGCUAGAGUGCAGGAGAGGUAAGCGGAAUUCCUAGUGUAGCGGUGAAAUGCGUAGAUAUUAGGAGGAACACCAGUGGCGAAGGCGGCUUACUGGACUGUAACUGACGUUGAGGCUCGAAAGCGUGGGGAGCAAACAGGAUUAGAUACCCCAGUAGUC
rnacentral:rRNA from 1 species